CAGGGAUGGACGAGUUCUGGAGAACUCUUAUUAUAGGGUGUAGCGAAGUUGGAAGAGCAUUUGGGAGCAAAAUGAACGAAAAAUAGAUCAAGGUACAAGAGUCACACAAGUUGGCCCCUUCCACAUGGCCUGGACACACAGCUGUGUGACCCAUAUAGCCUACCACACGACCAUGUAGUAUGUAACUGCUUAUUUUUCAGUGGCGUCGGAACAGUAAUUUUGGGGUCACAAAUCUGACAAUUAUUUCCCUUUACUCUACAAAUUAUCGGAAGCUCGAUCGGUUUGGAAGCUCGUCAGAGAUCUAUCACAUCAUCCAGCGAUUAUAUCGGUAGUUUUUAAUGUUUUGGCCAAGGUUAUAAUGGCAUGUAAAGGCAGACUUGUGUUUGAUGUUAGUUGAAUGUUGGUUGAUGGUUUUGGUAUGCUUAUGUUAUUUUGGCACCA